ensembl:ncRNA F36H1.15 ncRNA
AAGUGAAUAAAGCGGGAGUUUUAUUCCAAAUGAACUCAAUUCAACAUUUUCAUUUAACCACGAAUUUCCAUUUUUCUUGAUAAUAAUUCAGUUCGUUAUCGUUGACAUUUUCCUAUUUCUUUUCAAAUUUCGAGGUUACA